rnacentral:rRNA from 1 species
UCUAGUCCAUACCACCCUGAACAUGCCCGAUCGUGUCUGAUCUCGGAAGCUAAGCAGGGUCGGGCGUGGUUAGUACUUGAAUGGGAGAAAGGGUCUCCCUUAUAGCCCCAACUUUCCUGGAACUCACUGUGUAGAC